rnacentral:rRNA from 1 species
GUCGAACGGUGUCUUCGGACAUAGUGGCGCACGGGUGCGUAACACGUAUGCAACCUACCUUACAUUGGGGGAUAGCCUUUCGAAAGGGAGAUUAAUACCGCAUAAGACAGUAGCUGGGCAUCCAGCAGCUGUUAAAGAUUUAUCGAUGUAAGAUGGGCAUGCGUCCAAUUAGUUAGUUGGCGAGGUAACGGCUCACCAAGACUUUGAUUGGUAGGGGAACUGAGAGGUCAAUCCCCCACACUGGCACUGAGAUACGGGCCAGACUCCUACGGGAGGCAGCAGUAGGGAAUAUUGGGCAAUGGACGCAAGUCUGACCCAGCCAUGCCGCGUGCAGGAUGAAGGCGUUAUGCGUUGUAAACUGCUUUUAUACAGGAAGAAACGACUCUUGCGAGAGGCAUUGACGGUACUGUAUGAAUAAGCACCGGCUAACUCCGUGCCAGCAGCCGCGGUAAUACGGAGGGUGCAAGCGUUGUCCGGAUUUAUUGGAUUUAAAGGGUGCGCAGGUGGUUUAUUAAGUCAGUGGUGAAAGACGGUCGCUCAACGAUUGCAGUGCCAUUGAAACUGGUAGACUUGAGUAAAGUAGAGGUGGGCGGAAUUGAUAGUGUAGCGGUGAAAUGCAUAGAUAUUAUCAAGAACUCCAAUUGCGUAGGCAGCUCACUUGGCUUUUACUGACACUCAUGCACGAAAGUGUGGGUAUCAAACAGGAUUAGAUACCCUGGUAGUCCACACUGUAAACGAUGAUAACUAGGU